rnacentral:rRNA from 1 species
AUUGAACGCUGGCGGCAGGCCUAACACAUGCAAGUCGAGCGGAUGAAGGGAGCUUGCUCCUGGAUUCAGCGGCGGACGGGUGAGUAAUGCCUAGGAAUCUGCCUGGUAGUGGGGGAUACCUUCCGGAAACGGGCGCUAAUACCGCAUACGUCCUGAGGGAGAAAGUGGGGGAUCUUCGGACCUCACGCUAUCAGAUGAGCCUAGGUCGGAUUAGCUAGUUGGUGGGUUAAAGGCCUACCAAGGCGACGAUCCGUAACUGGUCUGAGAGGAUGAUCAGUCACACUGGAACUGAGACACGGUCCAGACUCCUACGGGAGGCAGCAGUGGGGAAUAUUGGACAAUGGGCGAAAGCCUGAUCCAGCCAUGCCGCGUGUGUGAAGAAGGUCUUCGGAUUGUAAAGCACUUUAAGUUGGGAGGAAGGGCAGUAAGUUAAUACCUUGCUGUUUUGACGUUACCAACAGAAUAAGCACCGGCUAACUUCGUG